rnacentral:rRNA from 1 species
CCUACGGGCGGCUGCAGUGGGGAAUAUUGGACAAUGGGCGAAAGCCUGAUCCAGCAAUACCGCGUGUGUGAAGAAGGCCUGAGGGUUGUAAAGCACUUUUAAUCGGGAGGAACACCUGUCAGCUAAUACCUGGCAGUAUGACAUUACCGAUAGAAAAAGCACCGGCUAACUCCGUGCCAGCAGCCGCGGUAAUACGGAGGGUGCAAGCGUUAAUCGGAAUUACUGGGCGUAAAGCGUGCGUAGGCGGUUAUUUAAGUCAGAUGUGAAAGCCCCGGGCUUAACCUGGGAACUGCAUUUGAUACUGGGUAACUAGAGUUGAGUAGAGGAGAGGGGAAUUUCAGGUGUAGCGGUGAAAUGCGUAGAGAUCUGAAGGAACACCAGUGGCGAAGGCGCCUCUCUGGACUCAAACUGACGCUGAGGUACGAAAGCGUGGGUAGCAAACAGGAUUAGAUACCCCUGUAGUC